GGUCCUACGACAGGAGAGACCAAAGGCAUGGCAGGCAAGAAAUUCCAGGACCCAUUAGAAGUCAUGUGGCAAAUGCUGAAGGAAUGUCUGCAGAGAAGGCAAGAAAUGAAAGGAGAGCCUGUGCAGAAGGAAGCACUUCCAGGAGGAAGCAGUGGUUCUGUGCCAGCCUCUGCUGCAGGAAGGGAGGCCAUGCCAGGCACAGGCACAGGAGAUGAGGGUGUUGGGAAGGCUUCUCCAUCAGCUUGGAUGAAUAAAGUUUUGAAGCCCUUGCAGCCUCCUACAGGUAUGUUCUAAGUGUGCCACCAAGGAAGAAUUGUAGACAAGUGGGCAGGAACCAGGUGACAGAAGCUGCUGGGGCUGUUUUGUUACAGAUGUGUCUACAGGGAAGACUUCUCCAGCUUCUCCAGCUGCUACCUUGGAUGCUGCACUCAAGCCCAGCUCCCAUCUCAGGGGUGAGUAGUGUGUCCCUGCUGACCCACAGGCUGAGCCCUGCUUUUGUGGGAUCCAUUCCUGGGAAAUGGAACUACUUUCUCUUAAGGUCCUCCACCAGAAGCGACCAAAGGCAUGGCAGACAAGAAAUUCCAGAACCCAUUUGAAAUCAUGUGGCAAAUGCUGAAGGAACCCCUGC